rnacentral:rRNA from 1 species
UGGGGGAUAUUGCGCAAUGGGGGCAACCCUGACGCAGCAACGCCGCGUGAAGGAUGAAGGUUUUCGGAUUGUAAACUUCUUUUAUUAAGGACAAAAAAUGACGGUACUU